rnacentral:rRNA from 1 species
GCAAGGUUGAAACUCAAAGGAAUUGACGGGGGCCCGCACAAGCGGUGGAGCAUGUGGUUUAAUUCGAAGCAACGCGAAGAACCUUACCAGGUCUUGACAUCCUUUGACCACUCUGGAGACAGAGCUUUCCCUUCGGGGACAAAGUGACAGGUGGUGCAUGGUUGUCGUCAGCUCGUGUCGUGAGAUGUUGGGUUAAGUCCCGCAACGAGCGCAACCCUUGAUUUUAGUUGCCAGCAUUUAGUUGGGCACUCUAAAGUGACUGCCGGUGCAAGCCGGAGGAAGGUGGGGAUGACGUCAAAUCAUCAUGCCCCUUAUGACCUGGGCUACACACGUGCUACAAUGGAUAGUACAAAGGGUCGCGAAGCCGCGAGGUGGAGCUAAUCCCAUAAAACUAUUCUCAGUUCGGAUUGUAGGCUGCAACUCGCCUACAUGAAGCCGGAAUCGCUAGUAAUCGUGGAUCAGCAUGCCACGGUGAAUACGUUCCCGGGCCUUGUACACACCGCCCGUCACACCACGAGAGUUUGUAACACCCGAAGUCGGUAGGGUAACCUUUAUGGAGCCAGCCGCCGAAGGUGGGACAGAUAAUUGGGGUGAAGUCGUAACAAGGUAGCCGUAUCGGAAGGUGCGGCUGGAUCACCUCCUUU